CUGGGAUGAGGCAGAAUACGCGGCCUGCAAAAUCAGACCAUAACCGACGCUUACCGCGCCGGUUAUUUUUUUGC
rnacentral:sRNA from 2 species